GAUUAAUGCUGGUGGUAUGCAUAACACAUGCAAGUCGAACGAAGAGGGUUUACUCUCUUAGUGGCGAACGGGCGAGUAACACAUAUUUAACUUACCUGCACGAGGAGAAUAGCAACUCGAAAGAGUUAUUAAUACUCCAUAGGUUUGAGACCCAAAUUAAAGGGAGCGUUCUGGGAAACUAGAGCUUCGCGAGCAGAGAGGAGUAUGUCCUAUUAGGUUGUUGGUGGGGUAAUUGCCUACCAAGCCGAUGAUGGGUAGCUGGACUGAGAGGUCGACCAGCCGCAAUGGGAUUGAAAUACGGCCCAUAUUCCUACGGGAAGCAGCAGUGAGGAAUUUUUCACAAUGGACGAAAGUCUGAUGGAGCAAUACCAUGUGAACGAUGAAGGUCUUCUGAUUGUAAAGUUCUUUUAUUUAGGAAAAAAAGCUUGAUAGGAAAUGAUUAAGCCUUGAUUGUACUAAAUGAAUAAGUGACAGCUAACUAUGGCCAGCAGCUGCGGUAAAA
rnacentral:rRNA from 1 species